CUUUUGCCAAAGAUCAGGCGAAAUCUCCAUAACCGCAGCAAGACCCUAAUCUGCACUCCCACCUUCAAAAAGACCCUCUCUUCUCCAACAAGCAUUUAAAUGAUAAUUAAUACUUAAGCUGCCAAUUGUAACGGUAGGCCACAAAGAGGAGAGCCUGCACUAUGUCUGACUAUUUCACUUCUUAUACGAAAUAACCGUCCGCCCUAAGGCUGACAGACAGGCUACUUUCAGGCCCCAUGAAUAACAACUAGGCUUGGAAAACGCUGUGGCCCCACUCAAGUAGGUGUCAGGAAGUCAAGUGGGUUUUGUGUUAUCUCUUCGUACUUUCAGCUGCCUAUUAGCAUAGCUAUUCAGACGGCACGGCCCAUGGACCACAAUGGGAAUAGAAAGGGGGAGCCAAUCUCUCUCUCCUUCUCUUACUCCCCUCUUUAUGUCUUUCACUCUUGAGUCUUUCUCUCUCCUCGCUCCCUCACUCCUGACUAAUCCGCUAAGUCCCAUGGGGGGCUAGAAGUCGUUGAGUUCUGAAGUGGCUUUUUGUCUUUUAGUUUUGUGUCGGGAAGUGGAAAGUCCACCUGCUCCGAAGAAUUUCAAAAAGGUGGUGUGAGUGGACUUUGUGAGGGUGCAUGUGAGUGAAUGGGUGAGUGUGCACGCCUGCUCCUUAGCUAUGCUUGGAGAGCAGAGCUUAUGAGAUAUCUUGGGAAGACUUACAUUCAAAGGGUAAUUUAUAUGAGAAAGAAAUGAGUAAAAUAACUCCAGAGACCUUUAAAUAAAUAGAUCUGGUGUUUAUACUGGUUCUGGACUUGGGUGCUUUCUUUUUCUCCUGAAAGAGUAGCGGUAUGCCAUUUAUCAUGGAAUAGUGUAGGACAGAGUGGAAAUCAAUUACUCGUAAAUGAUGGAUGAGUGAAGUUUCUUUGCACAGACUGACAGACUUCUUUUGUUGUAAUGUACUGUUAUUUCAUAUUUUGUUUCAUUUAUGACAAGGAAAUCAUCCAUAUCUUUAGCAGUUGCCUCUUUUGAGUCUUUGUAUUACUGCACUCAAGAAACCACUGUAAUUCAAUCAUAGAGCUUAACUCAUGAACUUUAAAUAAGCACUGUGUUUUGCACUUAUUCCACUGACAGCUAAAUGAAGGAGGCGGUCUUACAACAGGACUGUGAAACUACAGAAAAACAAACAUUUCAUCAAGAAAGCCAAGAAGUUUGAGCUGCUAUAACUGAAAAAGAGAUCAAUAUUAUUUCAAUACAUAAUCAUUUAUAUAAUUUAGGAUAAUGAUAUAAAUACUCAUUAUACUUACAAGAUCCCCAGUGUAACUGAAAGCCUACAUCUGGUGUUGAUUGCAUGUUUCGACUCCUCAUGCCCCACCAUCAGUUUCCCGGUUCAGCGAGCAAAGACUGUAGAAAAAUGAGAAGUUUCAUUUCAAUCAAAUCUCAAUCAAACAAUCAAUCAAGCUCCAAUACACAAGUGUUAUCCCAAGAGGCUUAACAAAAAAAGGUGGUAUUGACAUGAUUCUGUUUCGAAAGACCCAAAGUACUGUGAGAUCAGACCAUAGACUGUAUAUACCAUGGACAACUUUGAAGCCUAAAAGCUCUCUGUUUUUCCAGGUUUUUUCUCCACUUCCUGAAACCAACUUAAAUGACGACGUCAGACCCCUUUUUUUCCUUGACGAAAAUGAGACUAAGACGAACGUCACCAAAGCUCUGUAAAGACUAAAAUGUGACGAAAAUUGUAUUCAUUUUCGUCAGACGAGAACGAGACGAGACUAAAUUGUUAUUAGGUGGACGAACAAAGUUUCAAAACAUGCUUUUUUUUGUCCUAACAGUCACGCCCCCAUCACACACGCACCAAAAGCCUCGCUCGCGCACAUUUGCGCGCACACACUCAUACACAUACACAGAGCGGCAGGUGGACGAGGCGCGCACACACACACACACACCAUGGCGGCAGGCACAGCAGCGGUGCCCGUUGGCCAAAAAAAGAGGGAUGAUUUAUGGUCCUACUUCAGAUACAGUCCAAGUGACAAUAAAACACAAUGUCUUAUACGGGGACGGGGAGACGAGACAGAAGACAGUUGUGGAGCCACAGCUUCCUCACGCUGCGGCUUCAAACUGUCGGGAAAGAACACCACAAACCUCAAAAGGCACCUUUUCAUCGACUAAAACUAGACUAAAACCAUCAAGGAUAGAAAUGACUAAAAUGGGACUAAAACGAAGAAGCAUUUUGUCAAAAUGACUAAGACUAAAACUAAAUCUAAAAUUCCUUCCAAAAACAACACUGCCUGAAACCAACAUUGCUCAGUAACGUUGUACGCACUCCACCACUUGCGCAGUUGCAUUGUUUGCAUUUGGCGGAAGAGUCUCUGAGAGUUGCUGUGAUGACGCUCGGCUCAAACAGCAUAUCCCCCAGGUAAGCUAUGCAAUCUUUGUACAACCAUAUGCUGUAUCAAGUGUCAAUCAUAGAGGACAUGAACCCCCUGAUAACUUUUAAAAGUAGAGCUGCACAGAAAAAAGAGGACCUGAGCAGAAAAACCAGUCUCACUGUAACUACAUGUCAACAUCGCAAGCAGGGGGAGAAAAAUGUAUAUUUUGUGUAAUAAAUUUCUAAAGUUUGCCCACAGCUCUAUAGGGAUGGCUGGAGAAGGCAGGAUUUAUGACCUAUACUGCAGCCCGUCACCAGAGGGUGCUGUUCUAGGGGUGGCUUCACCCAGCGAGGAGGCAGACGGCGUCCAUUCUAUAUACAGUCUAUGGAUCAGACCCCUUUCCACCCCACCUUCAACCACAUAAAUGUAAAGCUUCACAACAUUCAUCAAGUUACAGUGAAGAGGAAGAACUUCCUUUAACAGGCAGAAACCUCGAGUAGAACCAGACUAAUGUUAGACAGUCAUCUGCUGAGACUGAGAGGGUUUAAAGAGGGGAGAGAGGGAGAUGAAGCAUCUGGAAAGCAGGCAGGACUACAACAGAAAAACAUCUGCAGGAGUGAUCGAGAGAAACUUACACGAUGAUGGAACUCAUAUGUAUUAGUGACUCCAAUGGGAUCAAAUCAUAGUUCAGCUGCCUCAUGUGAUCAUUUCUAUUAAUACCAUGCCCCUCCCCCUCCCCGUUUGCUUGAAUUACCAGGUUUAACUGGUGUAAAUUUAAUUAAAUAGUUAUUGCCUCCAUCAACACACACAUCGCAACGCAAUAGCACA